GGAUUAGAUACCCUGGUAGUCCACGCUGUAAACGAUGUCGACUUGGAGGUUGUGCCCUUGAGGUGUGGCUUCCGGAGCUAACGCGUUAAGUCGACCGCCUGGGGAGUACGGCCGCAAGGUUAAAACUCAAAUGAAUUGACGGGGGCCCGCACAAGCGGUGGAGCAUGUGGUUUAAUUCGAUGCAACGCGAAGAACCUUACCUGGUCUUGACAUCCACGGAAGUUUUCAGAGAUGAGAAUGUGCCUUCGGGAACCGUGAGACAGGUGCUGCAUGGCUGUCGUCAGCUCGUGUUGUGAAAUGUUGGGUUAAGUCCCGCAACGAGCGCAACCCUUAUCCUUUGUUGCCAGCGGUCCGGCCGGGAACUCAAAGGAGACUGCCAGUGAUAAACUGGAGGAAGGUGGGGAUGACGUCAAGUCAUCAUGGCCCUUACGACCAGGGCUACACACGUGCUACAAUGGCGCAUACAAAGAGAAGCGACCUCGCGAGAGCAAGCGGACCUCAUAAAGUGCGUCGUAGUCCGGAUUGGAGUCUGCAACUCGACUCCAUGAAGUCGGAAUCGCUAGUAAUCGUGGAUCAGAAUGCCACGGUGAAUACGUUCCCGGGCCUUGUACACACCGCCCGUCACACCAUGGGAGUGGGUUGCAAAAGAAG
rnacentral:rRNA from 1 species